CCUACGGGAGGCAGCAGUGGGGAAUAUUGCACAAUGGGGGGAACCCUGAUGCAUCGACGCCGCGUGAGUGAAGAAGUAUUUCGGUACGUAAAGCUCUAUCAGCAGGGAAGAAAAUGACGGUACCUGACUAAGAAGCCCCGGCUAACUACGUGCCAGCAGCCGCGGUAAUACGGAGGGGGCAAGCGUUAUCCGGAUUUACUGGGUGUAAGGGGAGCGCAGACGGCUGUGCAAGUCUGGAGUGAAAGGCGGGGGCCCAACCCCCGGACUGCUCUGGAAACUGUAAAGCUGGAGUGCAGGAGAGGUAAGCGGAAUUCCUAGUGUAGCGGUGAAAUGCGUAGAUAUUAGGAGGAACACCAGUGGCGAAGGCGGCUUACUGGACUGCAACUGACGUUGAGGCUCGAAAGCGUGGGGAGCAAACAGGAUUAGAUACCCUUGUAGUC
rnacentral:rRNA from 1 species